CUACGGGGUGCAGCAGUGGGGAAUCUUGCACAAUGGGCGAAAGCCUGAUGCAGCAACGCCGCGUGCGGGAAGAAGGCCCUAGGGUUGUAAACCGCUUUCAGUAGGGAAGAAAAUGACGGUACCUACAGAAGAAGGUGCGGCCAACUACGUGCCAGCAGCCGCGGUGACACGUAGGCACCAAGCGUUAUCCGGAUUUAUUGGGCGUAAAGAGCUCGUAGGCGGUUUGGUAAGUCGGGUGUGAAAACUCUGGGCUCAACCCAGAGACGCCACCCGAUACUGCUAUGACUAGAGUACGGUAGGGGAGCGGGGAAUUCAUGGUGUAGCGGUGAAAUGCGCAGAUAUCAUGAGGAACACCAGCGGCGAAGGCGCCGCUCUGGGCCGUAACUGACGCUGAGGAGCGAAAGCAUGGGUAGCAAACAGGAUUAGAUACCCGGGUAGUC
rnacentral:rRNA from 1 species